AAUAUAUACCCCAUAGGCACGCCCCCAAUGAACCACUUCCUCCAGCCACACCCCACCUGCCCCCAGCCACCACCAAGUUAAUCCCAUCAGAGACUAAUUUGCUGGUUAGGUUAAUGCUAGAGUUCAAUCAUUUCUCCUCCAAACCUUGCAUCAUCCCACACAUGACUUUCUGGGGGACACCACAUCUAAGCCAUAACAGGUUCAACCCCCAGUAUUAAGAGUGCACGCGCACACACACACACACACACACACACACCAGCAGACUUUGUUCUGACAGGUUGGUCAAAGGGGCUUAUUCAAAGCUAGCUGGUCCCAUCAUCUGUUCUGACAGGUGUACCGCAGUACAAUGGGCCCAUAGCCACCCAGAGUUAGAUCAGGUGCCACAGGAGAGGGAUAGAGCCCAAGAUGGUCCUCACUUCAGACAUCAGCCCCACUCUGGGGAUCCCAGGCCAGGAGAUUACUGUGACCUCCCUCAGAUUGAGUAAUUCGCUAGAGAGCAGUGUCACCAAUAUUUGAUCCUAAACGGGGUCCUUUGUCUCUCUGAGAAUGUGGAACCAAUAAAAAGAUGGAUGCAUAUUGAGCCCCGAGGGGUUCGUUCCUGGCGAAGAGAAGUUGGGGGUCAGGAGGCUACAGAUAGAGGGUUAAGGACAUGAGAGGAAGAGCCAAUAAAUGGGAACAAAAUUCACUGAUGUUCUGGGGGUGGCUGGGGACGAUCUGGGAAUUCUAGGACCACCUCAUUUCCCUCCUUUCAUAGUUCUUUUCAGUCAUCCUCAC
rnacentral:lncRNA from 1 species